rnacentral:rRNA from 1 species
CCUACGGGGGGCUGCAGUGGGGAAUAUUGCACAAUGGGCGCAAGCCUGAUGCAGCAACGCCGCGUGAGUGAAGAAGGCCUUCGGGUCGUAAAGCUCUGUCCUCUGGGACGAAUGAAAUGACGGUACCAGAGGAGGAAGCCCCGGCUAACUACGUGCCAGCAGCCGCGGUAAUACGUAGGGGGCAAGCGUUAUCCGGAAUCACUGGGCGUAAAGGGUGCGUAGGCGGCCUGUCAAGUCAGAGGUGAAAGGCAAUGGCUUAACCAUUGUAAGCCUUU